CCGCGCACGGCCCCUAAUCGGGUGCGGGGUGACCUGCAACCCGCUAUAGCAGGGUACAACCCCCGACUGCGAUGCGUCAUCCUCGGAUCCUCUUUCAUCGCGAGCGGCGUUGAAGGUCGGGUCCCAUGCAAUGGGUGGCCGGGAACCCCGCCAGGUCCGGAAGGAAGCAACGGUAACCAUCGCCAGCCAUGUGCCGUGGAAAAACCUGACUGGAGCUAGUUACGGUGCCGGAGCCCGAGGAGGCGUAGCAAAGAAGGGUGCGCGA
rnacentral:SRP_RNA from 1 species